UAUCUAUCCGUGUAGGCAUCUGUGCGGUUUCCAAGAAAGCCAAGUCCUCCUUUGUCAUUCAAAGCCCCACUUGCAACCUCCGUCCUCUGCAGUCUCCCACUGGCUUUUGCACAGAUGCCACCACGAGUCUUCUCACGCUGAGGUUUGAACCCCAGGUCCAAGAGCUCAUUGGUCAAGGGUGACCCGCAGCCACGAAGCCUGCACGCGCGCCUGCCCCUUCAGACUGGGACGGUCCAGGUUACCCACCUCCGUCUCCGGGCCACUUGUACCUACCGGACUGCACCCAGGACCCAGAGCCCAGAUAGACACAAAGCUUCACCAAUACUUCGGGGGACUGUGAAAACGAGGGCGGGAGGCCCUCUGAACGACACUCGGACAAGCCAAUAGCUGCAUGCACCCGCUCUCAUUGGCUUACAUAGAUUUCUCUGGGCGGAAACCCACUCCCCAGGCAGGAGCGGUUGAUCCACAAGGUGGGGCCCGUGUACUUUGGGGAAGUAAACCCCAUGCAACUAGGAGGUAGGCGCGGGGGAGCAAGAGAGCCACCAGCCAAUCGCAACACCGGGUGGAGCUGAUUGACAGGGAGGGAUGGCCCUCUCCAAAGACAGCCUCAGGGCCGUCGUGCCCUCUGGGGCGGUUAAGAGGAUGUGCUAGCUGCCCCUUCCGUUCCCUUUUCUUUCUCUUCCUCCUGGGUCGGGUCCUGUCUUCGAGUGCCCUCUCCCGCCUUCCCUGGCGACUUUGAUACCCGGAAUCUAAGGAUCUAAAGCGCUCGCUGCAUUACUCAGCGCGAUUGCAGUGGCCACAGAGGACAGCGAAAAACUGGCUUGGGCAGGAGACCCCAGAGCAUUCCAUGAGGCAGCCUCGCUGGCGUUUCCGAACACACGUGUCCCCCCCGGCGGCUUCCAAGCUGGUGGUGCCCGGGUGGCCCACGGGUGGCCCAUGGUUCGUUUUCAGAAGGUUUUUCCUUCUUGUGAUUACAGAGACAAGAUCCCCGCGUUGAUGACCCUCUGGCCUGCCUGCGCCAGCGGGUGCGUCCCUACCAGCCAUUGUCACAUGCUUCUCAAAUUGAAAUGGGAACUUAACCGACUCCUAGGCAGACACGCCUAAGGGUCCCCCAUAAAAGCCCCGGGGACCAAGCCGCACGUCGGCGUGCUGCUGUCCAAAACUUGCGGCUUGGGGAGCCCUCUCUUUGUUCACCGUGAGCAUUUCAUAUUAAAGAGCUGUGGUCCUAAUGCUAGACACGAA